rnacentral:rRNA from 1 species
GAUGAACGCUGGCGGCGUGCCUAAUACAUGCAAGUCGAGCGAACGGACGAGAAGCUUGCUUUUCUGAUGUUAGCGGCGGACGGGUGAGUAACACGUGGAUAACCUACCUACAAGACUGGGAUAACUUCGGGAAACCGGAGCUAAUACCGGAUAAUAUUUUGAACCGCAUGGUUCAAAAGUGAAAGACGGUCUUGCUGUCACUUAUAGAUGGAUCCGCGCUGCAUUAGCUAGUUGGUAAGGUAACGGCUUACCAAGGCAACGAUGCAUAGCCGACCUGAGAGGGUGAUCGGCCACACUGGAACUGAGACACGGUCCAGACUCCUACGGGAGGCAGCAGUAGGGAAUCUUCCGCAAUGGGCGAAAGCCUGACGGAGCAACGCCGCGUGAGUGAUGAAGGUCUUCGGAUCGUAAAACUCUGUUAUUAGGGAAGAACAUAUGUGUAAGUAACUGUGCACAUCUUGACGGUACCUAAGCAGAAAGCCACGGCUAACUACGU